rnacentral:lncRNA from 1 species
GUGCGCGCGCCUGCCCUUUGUUACGCCGCCUUGACGUGCCCCCGCGUCCCGCCCCGCCCCCGUCUACUCUCGCGCGGCGCGCGGGCCCCGAGGGGCAGGGCGUCUGGGAGGUGGGGCGGGGCGUUGCCCGCGCACCUCACAGCAGCCCCUGGAGGGCGGGCGGCCGCCGCGCCGGGCAACCCAGGUGCCGCAGCGCCGGGGCUGUGCGCCCUGGCCCCGGCCUCCGGACCCCGCUCACCGCCGUGGCGCGCCCCCGGGAUUCCGUCCCCCACACGGGGAGCGCUCCCUAAAGGGGGGUCUCCGCGUUUCUGAGCUGCGUCAGGGCCCGCGUACUGCCGCCUCCCCCGGGGUACACUAGCCUAGGUUCUGGAGGGUGAAGUCAGCCCCGCUGAGUGAGAAGAGGCUUGAAUCAUCAGUUACCUGGUCGUCUUGGGGCUGCUGUAGUAUGCAGUGAGAUACGGUUGUUUAUGUAAAGAACUUAGCUCAAGGCCCGGCACGCUCCAGACAGGUGAGCUGCCAUCACCCUCGACUGCCGCGGCUGCUCCCACCACCACUACUUCAUCAUCAUCACGGAGUCUUGGUUGCCUUGCUAGUGAAGCCAAGGAGUUCAGGGGUUGCUGUAGACGAUCUCCAUGUUUCCUCGCAGUUGCAACUUUCCAACGUCUACCUCAACACUGAUCACUCUACUCAAAUCUAGGGGGUACCUGCUGGAGUUUUUGUAUAUCUUAGUUGCAGGUCCUUCUAGUUGUGGGAUGUGGGACGCCGCCUUAACGUGGCCUGAUGAGCGGUGCCAUGUCCGCGCCCAGGAUCAGAACCCGGGCCGCCACAGCGGAGUGCGCGAACUUAACCACUCGGCCACGGAGCCGGCCCCAAAAGUUCACCUUCUUAAACCUCAGAAUCUGACUAUGAGAAUGAUGGCUCUGCUCCAAAACACUGGACCACUCAUCCCCACGCUAAAUGUUACCACGCCUAUUUGGGACUUGAACUCAAUCAUUUAUCCACUCAUGUAACAAACCUUCCUUGAACCCUUACCAUAUGGCCAGUUUUUGCCAGGGUCCCAAUGAUGCAAAGUAGAAUAAUGUAUUGCCAUGUCUAAUCUUCAACUAGAUUCAGUUCCAUAAAAGAAGAAAU